rnacentral:rRNA from 1 species
ACCGUUCCUAUAACAUUGUUUAUUAAUGAUCUACCUUAAUAACCGCCUGAGUACUACAAGCGCUAGCUUUAAACCCAAAGGACUUGGCGGUGCUCCAAAUCCACCUAGAGGAGCCUGUUCUAUAACCGAUAAUCCGCGUUCAACCUCACCACUUCUUGCUUAUCCACCGCCUAUAUACCGCCGUCGUCAGCUCACCCUAUGAAGGCACAGUAGUAAGCAAAAUGAUCUACCUCUUCAAUACGUCAGGUCGAGGUGUAGCGAAUGAAGUGGGAAGAAAUGGGCUACAUUCUCUCUUUCGAGUAAUACGAAUAGAAGAAUGAAAAUCUUCUUAAAGGCGGAUUUAGUAGUAAGUAAACUUUAGAACAUUAUACUGAAACCGGCUCUGGAGCGCGCACACACCGCCCGUCACCCUCUAA